AACUCCAUGGAGCAACUCUUCCAGGUAAAUUGACUCUCUCUCACUCAAAUACUGUACAUUAAUUGAUUCUGUUUGUAGUUUUUCCAUUUUUAAUUCUGGGAGCAACAUAUAUAUCAAUGGAACCAAAAGACAAAUGAUCACGUAUAUUAAUUUAGUUUGUGUAUAGAAUAACUGAAUGUAUGGUAAUGGGUGUGAAUAUUGCAUUGCUUUUCUGCGUAUGAAGAUUUGAGGGUUUUUGGUACAAGAGGCAUUAGUUUCUUUCUCCCAUGCAUGGCUGACUUUAACUAGCCUAGGAAAUCUAUAUAUCACGUCCUCCUUUCCCAUUUCUUUUCUUAAAAACUAA
rnacentral:misc_RNA from 1 species